AUUGAGAUUCAGGCAGAUAAGUAACAUGUAGGUUGCUCAUGUAACAGAGGUCGUCUCUCCCCUCCCUCGAUCACUCUGCGUUGUGUUGUAGUGGAAUAGUGAUGGACGCCACAACCGACCUUUGCUUUAAUAUUUAUUGCUCUCUGGAAUAUGACAAAACAAACACAAAUCAGGCAGGGAGCGAUAUGUUACCAUUAGGCUACACGUUGGAAAGGGGGUAGAGUUGGAUAUAACGUCCCAGAUAGCAAGGUGACAUUGAUAUGAUGUUGAUUUUCCAUCCAAAUCAUCAUUUUGGUUGAGAUUGAAAUCUCAAUGGUAAAUAGACAUUGAAUCAGCAUUACAAUCCUGACAAAACCCCGACAGUACAUGAGCAUAGAUAGAGAGGCAUCGAAACAACAUUGGUUUAUAGUUUAUAUUGCCAUAAUCGAUAGAGCAUCGAUACAUAGUUCAGUAAAAGAUAUUGAAAAGUCAUGGAUGUAUGGUUUAUUGGGAAAUUUUGACGUGGUGAUUGAAAAGUAGUGGAUUUUUAGUUGACCGCGCGACGACGUUUGAACUGUCCGGCGGGAGAUCAUUUUGAGCAACGGUUCAGUCAGACCAACCGUGUUCAGCUCUCUGUCAAGUUCGCCGCUCCACCUUAAUGGUGCCGCUUCACUCAACUGGAUGGUCAGGCUGACUGCAACCGUAGGCCUACUGAAUAGAUGGCAGGGAAGCACAGCACACGGGAAUUUAUAAAUGAAGAAGAGUGAAUAAAUGCACUUGCUUUUCAAACUGAUAA